UCGGAAAAUUCGCUAAAUUCCGCAAGGAAACGGGGGACCCAUCUUAUGGGGUGAAUCCGGCCAUCACGGCUGGUAGGGCUAUCUCUCUCAGGCCCGAAUCCGACAGCUAACCUCGUCAGCGUGUAAGAGAGGAGUG
rnacentral:sRNA from 2 species